AUGGGUCAGGGCCUGAGCUGCGCAGACCGCCAUGAAACUGGAUUCUUCUUCAGAGCUCUGCAGAAUGGGGAUGUGGAAGUUGUUCGAGCUAUGGUGGAGACUGAUUCAUCUAUCUUACACCACACCACUAACCAUCAAAGAUCAACGCCUCUACAUGUAGCGGCUGCCAAUGGACAGAUCGAUAUUCUUUCGAUGCUCUUGGACUGGAAUGUGAAUCCCGAUAUUCUCAAUCGGCAUAAUCAGACUCCUCUGAUGCUGGCUGCAAUGAGCGGGAGGAUAACUUGUGUUCAAAGGCUGAUCGAAGCAGGAGCUAAUAUAUUGAUGUUUGAUUCUACACAUCGAAGAACUUGCUUGCAUUACGCAGCUUAUUAUGGACAUUCAGAUUGUCUGCAAGCUAUUCUUUCUGCUGCACAUACCACUCCUGUAUCCGACUCUUGGGGGUUUGCAAGAUUUGUGAACAUUAGAGAUGGGGAUGGCUCAACUCCAUUGCAUCUAGCAUCCAGACAGAGCCAAACUGAGUGUGUUCGUAAACUUCUUAACAAUGGUGCUCUUGUUUGUGUCUCAACUUGCAGUUGUGCAGGUAGUUCACCGCUUCAUUUAGCCGCCCGUGGCGGUUCGUUGGAAUGUGUUCGAGAAUUGCUUGCUUGGGGAGCUGACAGAUUUCAGUUUGAUUCAUAUGGGAGAAUACCAUUUACGGUUGCUUUAAAGCAUAAGCAUCAAACUUGUGCAGCUUUGUUGAACCCUUCAUCACCGGAACCUCUCGUCUGGCCUUCACCUUUGAAGUUAAUUAUUAAGCUAGAUCCAGAUGCGAAAAUUUUGCUAGAAAAGGCUUUGAUGGAUGCAAACAUGGAGAGAGAGAAGGCUAUAUUGAAGGAAACAUUCAUCACACCUCAAUGUCCUUUGCAAGCUGAUGUCGACAUCGAUGCUUAUGUUGACAAUGACUUAGCAUCUGAGGCUAGCGAUACAGAUUUGUGCUGCAUAUGCUUUGAACAAAUGUGCAAUAUUGAAGCCCAACCCUGUGGCCAUAGAAUGUGCGCCCACUGCACAUUAUCUCUGUGCUGCCACAAGAAGCCUAAUCCAACAACAGCUUGCCCAACAGCCCCUGUUUGCCCCUUUUGCAGAAGCAGCAUCACCCAGCUUCUGGUUGCUGAGGUGAGGAGUAAUGACAAUGUAGACCAAGAAAAUUCCCCCUUGAAACUGAAGGGAUUGCGAACGUCAAAUUUCAAUGAAGAAAACAGCAGCUUGAAGAGCUUAUCUGCCCUGUUUGGGAAGUUCAGUGAACAAAAUGCAGGGACGUGUAUAAAGCCUUAAAAAGAAGGCCUUAUCAGAGAGAUGAUUCAGCAGACAUGGCAACCUCAGAUUCACUUGGACACAAAAUAUGAGAAAGCUAACCAUGGUUACCACUUAACGGUUAUGAUUUUAUGGAUCAAUCAAAAGUGGUUCACUAACUUAGCAGCAAUGAAUGCCUUGAUUUGUCUGAUCCAAACACAAUGGCUCAACGAUGAUUAUGGUAAGUAAGUCUCCCUACAAAUGAAAUGGUAGGAUGAAACAAAUGACCAUAUAACAUUUGACAUGCAUCAUUUUUCCAUGAAGCUACGAAUCAAAGAAAGAAUUAUUUAAUCAGUUGGCAAUAUAGACAUGAAAAGAGUAGAGGAAUCCCUUGACUGUUACCACCUUGAACAAGUUCUCCAUCUGAUCUUCUGCUUUCUUCUUUGCCCGCCAGUGCGAAUGACACAGGAGCAACUUGUUCACUGGAAAACAAAGCAUUUGUUUCAGAAACAGGACGAAUAGGUGAGUAAUCAUUGGGUCCAUAAAGGGUCGGGUUGUGAAUCCUGUGAUUUCGUGUAGUUUUUCUUUCUGCUUCAAGAGAGUGCUCAAGUGAAGGAGAGCUGCUCAAGCUCACAGCAUCAGGGCGGAGUUUAAUGCAUAAAGAUAAAGAAAAUAACCAUGGCUUGGACUUGUACUUCUUUUUGUCUUCGAGUAUUUCCACCUUGUUGCCUUCCGUUGAUCUUUGUGAUAGCUCGAAAAUGCUUGAGACUCCAA